UACGGGGGGGGCAAGCGUUGUUCGGAAUUACUGGGCGUAAAGGGCUCGUAGGCGGCCAACUAAGUCAGACGUGAAAUCCCUCGGCUUAACCGGGGAACUGCAUCUGAUACUGGAUGGCUUGAGUUCGGGAGAGGGAUGCGGAAUUCCAGGUGUAGCGGUGAAAUGCGUAGAUAUCAGGAGGAACACCGGUGGCGAAGGCGGCAUCCUGGACCGACACUGACGCUGAGGAGCGAAAGCCAGGGGAGCAAACAGG
rnacentral:rRNA from 1 species